rnacentral:rRNA from 1 species
CCUACGGGCGGCAGCAGUGGGGGAUAUUGCACAAUGGGGGAAACCCUGAUGCAGCGACGCCGCGUGAGUGAAGAAGUAUUUCGGCAUGUAAAGCUCUAUCAGCAGGGAAGAAAAUGACAGUACCUGACCAAAAAGCCCCGGCUAACUACGUGCCAGCAGCCGCGGGAAUACGUAGGGGGCACGCGUUAUCCGGAUUUACUGGGUGGAAAGGGAGCGUAGAUGGGUAUGUAAGUCUGGAGUGAAAGCCCGGGGCCCAACCCCGGGAUUGCUUUGGAAACUGUGUAACUGGAGUACAGGAGGGGCAGGCGGAAUUCCUGGUGUAGCGGUGAAAUGCGUAGAUAUCAGGAGGAACACCGGCGGCGAAGGCGGCCUGCUGGACUGAAACUGACGUUGAGGCUCGAAAGCGUGGGGAGCAAACAGGAUUAGAUACCCUUGUAGUC